GGCUUGUAAGUCACUGGUGAAAUGCUGUGGCUUAACCAUAGAAUGGCCAUGGAAACUGCAAGUCUUGAGUACAGUUGAGGUGGCCGGAAUGAGUAAUGUACCGGUGAAAUGCAUAGAUAUUACUCAGAACUCCGAUUGCGUAGGCAGCUUGCUAAACUGUAACUGACGCUGAUGCACGAAAGCGUGGGGAGCGAACAGGAUUAGAUACCCUGGUAGUCCACGCUGUAAACGAUGAGCACUGGUUGUUGGCAAUACACCGUCAGCGACUGAGCGAAAGUAUUAAGUGCUCCACCUGGGGAGUACGUCGGCAACGAUGAAACUCAAAGGAAUUGACGGGGGCCCGCACAAGCGGAGGAACAUGUGGUUUAAUUCGAUGAUACGCGAGGAACCUUACCUGGGCUUAAAUGUAGAGUGCAUUGCUUGGAAACAGGCAUUUUCUUCGGAACUCUUUACAAGGUGCUGCAUGGUUGUCGUCAGCUCGUGCCGUGAGGUGUCGGGUUAAGUCCCAUAACGAGCGCAACCCCUAUUGUUAGUUACCAGCACGUAAUGGUGGGGACUCUAGCAAGACUGCCGGUGUAAACCGUGAGGAAGGUGGGGAUGACGUCAAAUCAGCACGGCCCUUAUGUCCAGGGCUACACACGUGUUACAAUGGCAAGUACAAAGAGCAGCCACCUGGCGACAGGGCGCUAAUCUCAAAAGCUUGCCUCAGUUCGGAUCGAAGUCUGCAACUCGACUUCGUGAAGGUGGAUUCGCUAGUAAUCGCGCAUCAGCCAUGGCGCGGUGAAUACGUUCCCGGGCAUUGUACACACCGCCCGUCAAGCCAUGGAAGCCGGGGGUACACUGAAGUCCGUAACCGCAAGGAUCGGCACUAGGGUAAAAC
rnacentral:rRNA from 1 species